UACAGAGGGGGCAAGCGUUGUCCGGAAUUACUGGGCGUAAAGGGCGCGUAGGCGGCCUUCUAAGUCGAACGUGAAAUCCCCGGGCUCAACCCGGGAACUGCGUCCGAUACUGGAAGGCUUGAAUCCGGGAGAGGGAUGCGGAAUUCCAGGUGUAGCGGUGAAAUGCGUAGAUAUCUGGAGGAACACCGGUGGCGAAGGCGGCAUCCUGGACCAAUUCUGACGCUGAGGAGCGAAAGCCAGGGGAGCAAACGGG
rnacentral:rRNA from 1 species